rnacentral:tRNA from 1 species
GUCGCGCUCGUCGGCGGCUACGACUGCGAGCUUGGUGCGCACGCAGCCGAGGAUCACCUCGUCGUCGCUCGGCUCGGCGCCGCCGCGC